rnacentral:rRNA from 1 species
AUGAAUUUAAAUAAAAACUUAGAAAAGUUUGAAAAAAAUCACAUAGAAAGUUCGAAGUCCAAAACCUGGCAAGUUCAUGGUAAAAACAAAAAAAGGCAGAAAAGGUACUUGGUGGUGGCAUUGCUUCACUUCCCUUGUUAUGCUCUCUUCGCCCAUGUUCCGAGAAUCAAGAAAACAAAUACUAGUGCUUGCAUGAAAAUGUAUGAGCAAAAAUACCCACAAAGGCUUUUGCGUAGAAACAUCACCUCCAUUCAUGCGCAGUACAUGCUUCUCCUGCCGCCGCGCCACCUGGAUCUAACGAGGCUACGUCACACUGGCCCCGGAUCCGCCCGCUUCCAAUGA